rnacentral:lncRNA from 1 species
GUAGUUUUCAUCUAUGUCAAUUAUUCACUGUGUAAUUAAAGGAAUGUACCCAUUUUUCAUGGUAUUCUGCCUUAGUAACAAUAAUUGGCUGCUCAAGGACUUUAGUUUAUUAAUUCUAUUGCAAUUAUUGCUCUCACCACCAAUGAAACCUUGUGCUCUUCCUCCUAUUCCCUUUAUCUACACAUCUACUAUUGGGUACUAGAGAAAAGACAGCAUUUCCUAAGCAACUGCUACUGUCAUAAAGUUGCCGGGGUAACUUCUGUGCCUUCUGCUCUGUCACACAGAUUCAACAAUAACACAGGUUGGAGUAGAGGCCUGCCAAGUGGGUAGGUCACCAACUGAGGCAGGCAUAGGACCAGGAGUGGUUCAUGCCAAGAGUGAAGCCUUCCUUAUCUGGAGUGGGACUCACAGCUCCUGAUCCCAGUCAGGAAUCCCUACCUUUUACCAGAACAGAGGCUGGGCAAUCCUAUGCAGGAAGCUAGUUACUCCCUCCAAGCUUGACCUGGUGAACAAGAAGCAUUUCUUUGUCAGAUGAAGGCAAAAUGUUAUUGUUGGAUCCUUCCUUAAGCAGAAACCUUGCAACUGACCCAUGAGUUUGUGUUCCUUACAACUUCCCCCCACAGGGGGCUGCCUGGAAUUCCUAGUGAUUGUGUUCAAGAAAGUCAUAAAGACAAAUAAUGUUGGAAUUAAAAACAACAAAAAUACACUGGGGAGCCUAUAGGAGCAACUAUAGACUCCUAGACAGCAUGGUGCUCAAUGCAGCAAAAGGAUUUUCCCACCAAUGCAAGCCUAUUAGUGACAGAUGCUUCCAGCCAGGCAGGUGGCCCUGGUCUGGUUAUCCAUGGCUUCUCCUAGUCAUCAGAUUCCUAGAAAAAUUGGUUUGAUCUCUUUCUUCCCCAAGGAGGAAUAUU